CUAUAUCAAAUUCCCAAAAGCCCUUCCCUCUUAAUAAACUACUGAACUCUUCAGAUAAUUCAUUAAAUGACUGGUAUGUCGAUGGCAAUUCCAAACUAGGGGUACAUGUGUGAGCAAUGGGCCUACGUGCUAACCCAUCUACACUAACAAAGUGACUUCUAAGCUAUCACAAAUUAUGAUAUCACUCCCAGUUGUAAACUGCAAAAAGGCUGAAAGCGCUCCAUCUGUCAAACUCUUUACAAACCUUUUUAAAUGAUCAAAACUUUCCCUUUCAGCAUCAUUCCCUGGUUGUGCUGACAAUAACUUAAGAACCUUCUUAGGGACCGUUCAUUAUUUAUACCUGGGGUUGGUACCGAAGACAAGAGAAAAACAGUGUACAUUUUUUAUUUACCCAACCUCAACAAUGGUCAAAAUAAUGUUUACCCAACCCAUGUGUUACUAUACUUCAUAAUAAUUAAACACACAAGAUUAUGGUGACAGAAAUCAAGUUGCCUAUAUUCUAAAAGCUCACUCACACUCAAACUCACUGAGUGUGCCAAAGCAAUCACGUUCCUGCUAAUCAAUGAUAGAAUC